rnacentral:lncRNA from 1 species
AAGCAUGGAUGAUGCUUUUCUAUGGAUCUGAAUUAAGGGAAAAAUGCCCCCUUUUCCAUCACCAGAGAGGUUUAACGCAAGGAAAACUACUCUUUUCCCCAAUAUCUGAGGGGUUUAAAUUAAAGGGGAGAAGCCAUUUCUUUACCACUGCAUCUGUUUAAAUGCAGUUAGCUGUCCCAUUUGCUCAUUUUAAGUGUUGCCUUUUCCAGCAUUUCAAGGGUUUAAAGCUGCAUUUCAGGGCACUUUUACCCACACCCCGGCACCAAAUAUCUCCAACGGGGGCGAGGCCAGCAGGAGGAUUGCAAUUUCCAGAAGUUCUAGGUCACAUCAAGUGCGAUAUUUCAGAUUCUCUCAGCAGACUCAUAGUAACACAAAAGGGAACCGCCCCCGCAGCAGCUUUCCUUAGCAGCAGAUCGUCCUCUCGCACAGAUUCACUUUGGAGAGAUGCAGACGGUUUGACCUCGUGGCAGAGCAGCUAUCCCAGAUGAUGGGGGUCCCCCUGAGAAGGAAGUAAAGCCAGAUAGCAGCG